AGAGUUUGAUCAUGGCUCAGGACGAACGCUGGCGGCGUGCUUAACACAUGCAAGUCGAACGGAAAGGCCCCUUCGGGGGUACUCGAGUGGCGAACGGGUGAGUAACACGUGGGUGAUCUGCCCUGCACUCUGGGAUAAGCCUGGGAAACUGGGUCUAAUACCGGAUAGGACCGCAUGCUUCAUGGUGUGUGGUGCAAAGCUUUUGCGGUGUGGGAUGAGCCCGCGGCCUAUCAGCUUGUUGGUGGGGUAAUGGCCUACCAAGGCGACGACGGGUAGCCGGCCUGAGAGGGUGACCGGCCACACUGGGACUGAGAUACGGCCCAGACUCCUACGGGAGGCAGCAGUGGGGAAUAUUGCACAAUGGGCGCAAGCCUGAUGCAGCGACGCCGCGUGAGGGAUGACGGCCUUCGGGUUGUAAACCUCUUUCAGUAGGGACGAAGCGAAAGUGACGGUACCUACAGAAGAAGGACCGGCCAACUACGUGCCAGCAGCCGCGGUAAUACGUAGGGUCCGAGCGUUGUCCGGAAUUACUGGGCGUAAAGAGCUCGUAGGUGGUUUGUCGCGUUGUUCGUGAAAACUCACAGCUUAACUGUGGGCGUGCGGGCGAUACGGGCAGACUAGAGUACUGCAGGGGAGACUGGAAUUCCUGGUGUAGCGGUGGAAUGCGCAGAUAUCAGGAGGAACACCGGUGGCGAAGGCGGGUCUCUGGGCAGUAACUGACGCUGAGGAGCGAAAGCGUGGGUAGCGAACAGGAUUAGAUACCCCGGUAGUCCAA
rnacentral:rRNA from 1 species